AGGAGAUUCUGGAAAGGGCUGAUGGAAUACUGGAAGAGGAGGAGAAGGUGCUAGCACAGGAAGCCAUGCUAGACGUGCUCUUGGGGUCAGAGGAUGGCCAGAAUCGGUGGGCUAUGUGUGAAAAUGAGGACUUGCCUGGUGUGAUGUCGUCCAGUGACUUGGCUGAAGUUGGUGUAUUCUGUUUAGAAGAGAGCCUCAUCCCUGCGGUCUCCAGAAAUGCCAAUGAAUGGAGAUCACCUGACCCUGCCAUUGACAGUGUGGCCUCUGA